CGUGGGUGAUCUGCCCUGCACUUCGGGAUAAGCUUGGGAAACUGGGUCUAAUACCGGAUAGGACCAUCGUUUAGUGUCGGUGGUGGAAAGUUUUUUCGGUGUGGGAUGAGCUCGCGGCCUAUCAGCUUGUUGGUGGGGUAAUGGCCUACCAAGGCGUCGACGGGUAGCCGGCCUGAGAGGGUGUACGGCCACAUUGGGACUGAGAUACGGCCCAG
rnacentral:rRNA from 1 species